rnacentral:rRNA from 1 species
UACAGAGGUCUCAAGCGUUGUUCGGAUUCAUUGGGCGUAAAGGGUGCGUAGGCGGCGCGGUAAGUCGGGUGUGAAAUCGUCGGGCUUAACUCCGAAACUGCAUUCGAUACUGCCGUGCUUGAGGACUGGAGAGGAGACUGGAAUUUACGGUGUAGCGGUGAAAUGCGUAGAUAUCAGGAGGAACACCAAUGGCGAAGGCAGCUCGCUGGGACGGUACUGACGCUGAGACGCGAAAGCGUGGGGAGCAAACAGG